UUGGGUUUGAUUCACCAGAGACAUGGUCAA
rnacentral:piRNA from 1 species